UCCCACUUAACGUGGGCAGUCUCCUUAGAGUCCCCGGCAUGACCCGUUGGCAACUAAGGAUAAGGGUUUCGCUCGUUAUGGGACUUAACCCGACAUCUCACGACACGAGCUGACGACAGCCAUGCAACACCUGUGUAUGCUCCCGACUCUACGGGUCGUCCCCCUUUCAGGUUCCUACUACAUACAUGUCAAGCCCGGGUAAGGUUCUUCGCGUUGCUUCGAAUUGAACCACAUGCUCCACCGCUUGUGCGAGCCCCCGUCAAUUCCUUUGAGUUUUAGCCUUGCGACCGUACUCCCCAGGCGGCUCACUUAAUCCGUUAGGUUCGGCAGGGAAGAAAUCAGGUUCUCCCCUACUUAGUGAGCAUCGUUUACAGCCAGGACUAC
rnacentral:misc_RNA from 1 species